UUUUCUAUGCUUAAACACGUUUCACCACUCUGUUGGAUCAAACAGAAUCGAUGUUAACCCAGUGUACGUAUAUAUUCGGUUCCAUUAUAUAUCUCCUUUCCUUACACGCGCAAUGAACCUAUUCUGCAAUGGAAAAUAUUUAAAAAAUCUCACUAGUGAAUGGCCCAAGCGGAACCCAACGUUAUUAAUUUUACAAGAUUAGAGUCUAAAUGAGCUGUCAUGACUAAUCGAGGCAGAAAUAGCUUUGAAAGAAUGGAGAAAAGGUUAAUAAAAGUAUAUAGCUACUUUCCUAAUCGCUGACCACGUUGAUGACAUUUUUUUCGAAUCUAACUACUAAUGAACAACGCGUGGACUUCGUUAACCUCAUUCAAUUUACAUGGCUCAUUCCAGGGCAACUUGCAAAUAAUGGUGAAAAAUAAGUUUCAAAUACGUUUUGAUUUUCUUUGAUUCAUUGCAAAUCACAGUACUAUUAACACUUCUACCAAGUGUAAAUUGAUUUCAUGCGUCGUUGUUCAAAGAAUGCUUAAACUUGCGCAACUUCAUCAAUGAAUAUGAGUCCAUGAAUUUAGCACUUGUCGUUGAACUAAUGCAAUUUAUUAGUUAUUUA
rnacentral:lncRNA from 1 species